rnacentral:tRNA from 1 species
GGUGAGUUAGUUUAGUGGUAAAAUAGCGUUAAAAAAUGGAUUCAAGACUGAAUCUAACAGCAUUAACUUAUUGCCUUUCACGCCGAAGCCACAGGUUCGAUUCCUGUACUCACCG